UCUCCUCUUAUGGUGCUGGAAUAGAUGACACGAUAUAAUUUGGACCAGAGAUAUCUUGUACACCGCCAAGCACUUUUUUUUGGAGGUCUCUCCGCAGAUCAUCUACAGGAGCUAGGGGAUCCAAUAUUUUUUUAAAUAAACCGCUGAUUGUUAAAGUA
rnacentral:lncRNA from 1 species